rnacentral:lncRNA from 1 species
AUGGCUGGCAGGAGAAUUCAGCUUGCAUCGUCAAGGUCACCCCUAAUGAGGCGUCGCGAUGACCGGGGCCUGAGGCCAACUGUGCCGGGCCUGCCGCUGCCACAACCGGGCCUACCACCACCACAGCCGGGCCUGCCAUCGCCACAGCCGGGCAGCCUACCACCACCACAGCCGGGCCUGCCGCCGCCACAGCCGGGCCUUCCCUCACCACAGCCGGGGCUUCCGUACCGGGCCUGCCGUCACCACAGCCGGGCCUGCCGCACCGGGCCUGCCGUCACCCGCAGCUGGCCUGCCGCCCCGGAGGCGACCGCGUCAGCUCACCGAAAGUCCCGCCCCGGAGAGGCGCAGGCUCCCGUUCUCCUCCCGAAAAAGCAGCUGCGGACCCGCACCCGUCCCACAACGGGUGGCCGACCCGACUCGUGUCCCGGCCGCUGGGCUCCACGCGGGCCUUCCGCGUGCGGAGCCGCCCCUCCUCAGAACGGGCCCAGGA